AUGAAGGAAGCUGGUGUGGGACAAGCUUGUCAUCAGUGCCGACUCGAAUCACAGAAACAGGGAGACGUACUAGUACUAUACUAGGGAUAAACAGUGUCAUUGCAUUGUUCGUUCACUGCCAUGGCUCAUUUGGUAGAACACAAAGGUGGAUGCCAUUGCGGUGCUGUGAGAUUCAAGGUCAAAGCCCCAUCUGAUAUCAUCACACUUGAGUGCAGCUGCAGCUACUGCAGAAAGAAAGGUCUUUGUCCGUUCCUGGUGCCCGAAUGCCAUUUCUCUCUGGUCAAGGUGAGAAA